ACAUAGAUUUCCAGUCAUUGUGAAAGCUGAGAAUGAACAUCAGGAAGAUUUAUUAGAGAUUUUGGAGGGAAAUGAAGUCGAAGGAGGACAAAAUGAGCUACGUGUAGAUGUAAUACAACAAGAAAAUGUUGGGCAACAACAAGUUUACCUUAUAGGCUUAGGACAAGGAGGGGAGGCAGCUUAUUUACAGGAAACACAAGUGAUUGAAGGUCCUGAUGGCACAAGAUAUAUUAUAGCAGGAUCAGGCGAGGAACUACAAGUUAUUGAGUCUUCUAACUUACAAGUUACUGAGCAUGUUCAGGAGGGUGAGAUUGUAGAGGGAGGAGUUAUACAGCAGAUACAACAAGUGGAACAUAUUAAGGAUUCUAGAAGUGGAAAUAUUUUGAUCAUUAACGAUGGUGUAGAACAGACAUAAAGUACAUUGGC